CUCCUGGAAACGGGUGGUAAUGCCGGAUGUUCCACAUGAGCGCAUGCGAGUGUGGGAAAGGCUUUUUGCGGCAUGGGAUGGGGUCGCGUCCUAUCAGCUUGUUGGUGGGGUAACGGCCUACCAAGGCGUUGACGGGUAGCCGGCCUGAGAGGGCGACCGGCCACAUUGGGACUGAGAUACGGCCCAGACUCCUACGGGAGGCAGCAGUGGGGAAUAUUGCACAAUGGGCGCAAGCCUGAUGCAGCGACGCCGCGUGCGGGAUGGAGGCCUUCGGGUUGUAAACCGCUUUUGUUCAAGGGCAAGGCACGGUUUCGGCCGUGUUGAGUGGAUUGUUCGAAUAAGCACCGGCUAACUACGUGCCAGCAGCCGCGGUAAUACGUAGGGUGCAAGCGUUAUCCGGAUUUAUUGGGCGUAAAGGGCUCGUAGGCGGUUCGUCGCGUCCGGUGUGAAAGUCCAUCGCUUAACGGUGGAUCCGCGCCGGGUACGGGCGGGCUUGAGUGCGGUAGGGGAGACUGGAAUUCCCGGUGUAACGGUGGAAUGUGUA
rnacentral:rRNA from 1 species